rnacentral:rRNA from 1 species
AGUGAACGCUGGCGGUAGGCCUAACACAUGCAAGUCGAACGGCAGCACAGUAAGAGCGCGCCCUUACGGGUGGCGAGGGACGGACGGGUGACGAAUAGAUCGGAAUCUUCUUUUUCGGGGGGGAUAACGGAGGGACACUGACGCUAACACCGCAUACGACCUACGGGUGAGAGCAAUGGAGAUUGACACCUUUCGCGUCUGAAUGAGCCGGAGUCGGGUUACCUAGUUGGGGUGGUAAAGGCCCACCAAGGCGACGCUACGUAGCUGACCUGAGAGGAUGAUCAGCCACACUGGAACUGAGACACGGUCCAGACUCCUACGGGAGGCAGCAGUGGGGAAUCUUGGACAAUGGGCGAAAGCCUGACCCAGCCAUGCCGCGUGAGUGAUGAAGGCCUUCGGGUUGUAAAGCCCUUUUGUUGGGAAAGAACAACUGCAUGUUAAUACCCCGCUGUUCUGACGGUACCCAAAGAAUAAGCACCGGCUAACUUCGUG